GACGAACGCUGGCGGCAUGCCUAACACAUGCAAGUCGAACGAGACCUUCGGGUCUAGUGGCGCACGGGUGCGUAACGCGUGGGAACCUGCCCUUAGGUUCGGAAUAACUCCCCGAAAGGGGUGCUAAUACCGGAUAAUGUCUUCGGACCAAAGAUUUAUCGCCUUUGGAUGGGCCCGCGUUGGAUUAGCUAGUUGGUAGGGUAAAAGCCUACCAAGGCGACGAUCCAUAGCUGGUCUGAGAGGAUGAUCAGCCACACUGGGACUGAGACACGGCCCAGACUCCUACGGGAGGCAGCAGUGGGGAAUAUUGGACAAUGGGCGAAAGCCUGAUCCAGCAAUGCCGCGUGAGUGAUGAAGGCCUUAGGGUUGUAAAGCUCUUUUACCCGGGAUGAUAAUGACAGUACCGGGAGAAUAAGCUCCGGCUAACUCCGUA
rnacentral:rRNA from 1 species